GGCGAGAUAGCUCAGUUGGUAGAGCAGCGGAUUGAAAAUCCGCGUGUCCCGAGUUCAAAUCUCGGUCUCGCCACCA
rnacentral:tRNA from 2 species